rnacentral:rRNA from 1 species
AUUGAACGCUGGCGGCAUGCCUAACACAUGCAAGUCGAGCGGAUGAAGGGAGCUUGCUCCUGUAUUCAGCGGCGGACGGGUGAGUAAUGCCUAGGAAUCUGCCUGGUAUUUGGGGAUAACGUCCGGAAACGGGCGCUAAUACCUCAUACGUUCUGAUGGAGAAAGUGGGGGAUCUUCGGACCUCACGCUAUCAGAUGAGCCUAGGUCGGAUUAGCUAGUUGGUGGGGUAAAGGCCUACCAAGGCGACGAUCCGUAACUGGUCUGAGAGGAUGAUCAGUCACACUGGAACUGAGACACGGUCCAGACUCCUACGGGAGGCAGCAGUGGGGAAUAUUGGACAAUGGGCGAAAGCCUGAUCCAGCCAUGCCGCGUGUGUGAAGAAGGUCUUCGGAUUGUAAAGCACUUUAAGUUGGGAGGAAGAGCAGUAAGUUAAUACCUUGCUGUUUUGACGUUACCAACAGAAUAAGCCCCGGCUAACUUCGUG